AGUCGUAACAAGGUUUCCGUAGGUGAACCUGCGGAAGGAUCAUUAGUGUAAACAAAUCCAAAUGAAAAUGUCGAACCGUGUGUUUGUUUGUGGGGGCAGUGGGAGACGAUGAUGAUGAUGCUUGUGGGUGUGAGAUAGGCGCGUCGCCAUUGGUGCGCGCCCAGCCACCCCCUUGUAUUGUCUGCGUGCGCCGGCGCUCCACAGACACAAUACAACAACUACAACAACACCAUCGUGAUGUGCCAAUGGACAAUAUAGUAACAUUUUAUAAAAAGCAUAACUUUUAACAAUGGAUCUCUUGGCUCUU
rnacentral:misc_RNA from 1 species